GACGUAGGGGGCAAGCGUUGUUCGGAAUUAUUGGGCGUAAAGCGCUCGUAGGCGGGACUGGAAGUCCGUGUUGAAAGACCUCGGCUCAACUGAGGGACCGGCUCGGAUACUCUAGUUCUUGAGGCAAUCAGAGGGUGAUGGAAUUCCCGGUGUAGCGGUGAAAUGCGCAGAUAUCAGGAGGAACACCGGUGGCGAAGGCGGGUCUCUGGGCAACAACUGACGCUGAGGAGCGAAAGCGUGGGGAGCGAACAGG
rnacentral:rRNA from 1 species